CCUACGGGUGGCUGCAGUGGGGAAUAUUGGACAAUGGGCGAAAGCCUGAUCCAGCCAUGCCGCGUGUGUGAAGAAGGCCUUCGGGUUGUAAAGCACUUUCAGUGGGGAAGAAAGCCUUGGGGCUAAUACCCUCGAGGAAGGACAUCACCCACAGAAGAAGCACCGGCUAACUCCGUGCCAGCAGCCGCGGUAAUACGGAGGGUGCGAGCGUUAAUCGGAAUUACUGGGCGUAAAGCGCGCGUAGGCGGUCUGAUAAGCCGGUUGUGAAAGCCCCGGGCUCAACCUGGGAACGGCAUCCGGAACUGUCAGGCUAGAGUGCAGGAGAGGAAGGUAGAAUUCCCGGUGUAGCGGUGAAAUGCGUAGAGAUCGGGAGGAAUACCAGUGGCGAAGGCGGCCUUCUGGACUGACACUGACGCUGAGGUGCGAAAGCGUGGGUAGCAUACAGGAUUAGAUACCCGGGUAGUC
rnacentral:rRNA from 1 species